rnacentral:misc_RNA from 1 species
CCUGCCUCUUUUCGGCUUGUAUGCAGGACUCGCGCAAGUCGCCUCUCGGCGGGACCACAAAGCGAAGUAUCGCCCCCUCCCGUCUCUCCUACACGUCGCCCUCUUACACGGGGCGCUUUUCGCGUGUCUUGCGUGCAGUGCCCUUACCAUUCGCUUCUGCAGAUCGUCGCCCCCCCCCCCCCUCCGGCACACUCACUCAGCCGCGCGCUCAUUUUUCUUGUCGACUCCGUUGCUGCGACGCCGCAUUCUGCGCGUUCGCCGCCUCCUCACUUACGCUGCUUCUCCCUCUGAUUAUCCUACAUGGUUUCCUUCCCUUACCUCACGCUUCCGCUGCUUUCUCAUUGAGCGUCGUUUUCCGUAAACUCCGCGAGUACAAAAAAAAACCAAGACGGACGUGGUCAGACGUCUACACACGGAGUCACGCGCUGCAUCGACGCUGAGGCAGCUGCUCUCUCUCUCUCCUCAAUACCCGCCAGACAGAGGGACCCAAGAUUGAGGCGCAUCAGUGCCGGCGCGUUGCCGUUGUGCCCGCGCUCUCCUCACGCAGCAGGCAGACAGCGGAGAACAGCCAGACAAGGAGCGAUUUCACUCCGAAAUCACUACGGACUCGAAAGCGGGCGCAGCUUGUAGCUCUCGUGUGCCUUUCUGUGGCAUUCGAAUGGUGACGCCAGUGCCCUAUACUUCGCGGACGGCAUUCUCGAUGGGGUCUCGUGAGUCUAUACCCACGCCGUCAUCAGUUCCUGUGAGCUGGCGCCGUUCAGGGGCUCUCCCGGCUGAUCUCGGAUUGGCCAGAUCACGCGUGUCGUCAGGCGCGGAUCAGGAUAACGUGCAGUCUUGCCGUUCCGAACCUUCUCACGACAGCGACGAGGGAGACGCCGGCAGAGCGUCCGUCGACGCGGAUCACUGCAAAGGGGAUAGCCCGACAGCCACGGAUGCUACGGGCUUGCUGCACCCGAAUCACCAGGGCCUGACGCGGAGGUUGGCGUGCCCCACGAUCCCGCGCAUGGUGACCCUUCUCCUCCUCUUCAGCUCCCUCGUCCAGGGCUUCUCCUCUAGCGUCAUUAGCAUUUUCAUCAACAGGGAGCUGGCGCUACAGCCCGUUGAGGUGACUCAAUACUGGAUGUGCAUCGGAUGCACGAUGUGGUGCCAACCCAUCGUGGGGUACAUCUCGGACGCUGUUGUGGUCUUUAGCGAGAAGCGGCGGCCACUCUUCGUCUUGGCCGCCGUCAGCAACACCGUGAUUUACACCGUCUACAGCCUUUUCCCUGGAGCGACGAGCAGCUUCGGGAGGCUUGUGGCCUUGUCGAUGGUGAGCCAAUUCUGCACGAUGGGGCUGUACAUCCCAUUGAAUGGGUUGGUGGUGGAGUUGGGCUGGCACGACGCGGAAACAGCGGAGGAGAGCAACGCUCGCAUGAGCGCCAUCGUGUCGAAGACGAUGGUUUGGCGCUCCACCGGGAGUCUGGCCGGGGCGGUGCUCCACACAUGCCUCAUCGCGCUCUUGUCCGUGCGUCCGCUACUUAGCAUCGCUGGCAUCCUGUUCCUCGUACUCGUCCCGAUUGUUCUCGUCACGCCACGGCGUCUUUUUCUCCGUUCCAGCACGCACGACUGUAGCUUCUGCCGUCAUGUCGCUAAAGCGUGUCGGAUGGCGUGGCGCAGGCUCGACAUCCGCGAUCCGCGCAGCGACGGCUUAUGCUUUAUCAUUGUGCUCGCCUUUGUGUUUGUGUACACAAUGAUGCCCGACGCGGGCUCUGUCUACUACAGCUACCUCUACGUCGUUUUCGAUUUUCCCAACUGGUUCUACUCAAUCAACGGCUGCGUCGACCAGCUCGGCUCCAUCGCUGGCGCCUACGUCUUCUCGUGCUGGGCGGGCCGACGUGCGACGCAGGAGGCUCGCGGUGGAGCCCGCAUGUCGCUCUUCUUCAUCUUUACGAUCGGCAGUGUGGCGUGGGCGGUCGGGUACGCGACGAACCUCUUGCUAUGCACCGGCUUUAUCACGGAGACACUGGGCAUGUCGGCUGCCGUGUACGUGCCUGUCGACACUUUCUUUACUUCCCUUGUUGCGCGAUUUGCCUUCAUGCCAACGCUGGUCAUGGCUGCCGAGCAUGCGCCGAAGUUCUUCGAGGCGACCGCGUUUGAGGUGUUCAGCGCGGCGAGCAUGGGCGGUAGUAUUGUGUCGGGGAUGCUGAUCAGCAGCAUUGCGAAAGGCUUGCACAUCACCCGCACCGAUUACAGCCAGUUGUGGGCGCUAAUUGUGGUCUCGAUUGUGGCAAAGCUGGCGCCGAUAUUCUUGGCAUACCAUUUACCGGAACGGUGCAGUGCUCGCGGUGAUGAAGGCCGCCGUGACGACGCCGUCGUCGUAGCUGGGGACGAGGGGCGCGAUAGCACAGCCAGGGCAAACGGCGCGACACAUCUCAGCGCGCGGGUGCUUUAGCGAGAGGGAGCAUGCGAAUCGGAGGCGUGGGACUUGCCGUCGCGUGGCCGACAACCCCCCAGCCACACAGACACCACCAAACUGUUCCGUAAUCAUACUCAGCUGCUGAAAAGAGAAGGAGAGAUGGACACCCCAACCGAGAGCCGUGGAAGGGCGCGGUGAGGGAGUCUGGAUGGGGUGGCGGCAGAGGCGAGGCGCGUGUCUUCACUGCUUUCCUCCGCUUGCUUUACCGCCCCUCAUAUCAAACGAAGAAAGCGAGAUGAUGUAAAUGCGUACAUGCACGCCCACUUUACACGCGUGCAGACAAGCCUGUGCCCCCUGUCCCUGCGAAAUGGGAGCGGGUGGGAGCCGGCCCGUCGCUCUUUCUCGUGAGCGUGGGAGAAAAGAGUGCGGCAGGGCAAGGCGCGGCUACCGCUGACGUCGCCCCUUUCCUCCCGCAGCAAAACAUCCAGCAACUGCUCCGUGAUGCCCCAUCUACUCUCUGUUACUCUCCGACUUGCCGCCUCCGUCAUUCGUCUUUGGGGAGGUGUUCGUGAUCUGCUGCCUGUCCUUACCCAUUUCCAG